UUGCUGCUGUGAAUAAGGCUGCACGUGUCACCUUGGGAGGCAAAUAUUCCUGCGGGCAGAGUCUUGGAAUUAGGAUGGCUGGGUGUGGCAGGGUGUGCACCUGCGCUUUGGAACUGGUCCCUGCGGAGCAGUCUCCUCCCUGCCACAGCCUGGCCCCGAUGUGUGAAUGCCAGGCUGCCUCUCUGAGGACAGGGUCUGGGUCCCCCUCCCCUCCCCGGCACCCAGUAGGUCUGCUCAGUGCUUGCUGGGUGCAUCUGUGGCUUGCCAGGAAAAGUGGAAGUCCCUCUCCCUGAAAAGUCUGUGACAGCGCAAGAGCAGGAGACCUUGACCCGUUCCAUUCGGCUCUCUGAACCGUGAAGAACCCCUCGGAGGCCUGGGUACUUUCUUUUUAAGUGUGUGCGGAGGGGGAGUGUGGUUUUUGUCUUCAAAACCGGUGUGGAGGAUCUGGGUUGCCAUGGCGACUCUGGAGCAGGGCCGCCUUUCCCUCCCCUCCAUCUUGGGAGCCCUGGUUGCCAUAACAACCGGUGAAUCCACUCCUCUUCCCCCCCUGCCCCUCCCCGCGGGGGCCUCCAGCUUCCCCACCGCUGGGACUCGGCGGCUCAGGGGUUUGGGGCAGCCCUGCUGUCACUCGACCCGAGAUCCGGUCCGAGAGGGGCUGAGAGUGGAGGGGUGGCGGCAGAUGACAGCCUGGCCUGGCGAAGGGGAGGGGCCCCAGUAAAUACAUCUUUAAGAAGGGACAGAAGCCUGCAUGGCAUGGCGGUGGAGCACCAGGCUCUCUCUACUCCCACAUCUCAGUAUACGGAGGGAGAAAGCCACCAACGGGAGCCCGGAUGGCUCAGCAGAGAGGAGGAAGCGGAGCCCCUGGACCCUAGGGGUGCGGAAGGCGCCACUGGGGAGAAGCCGGCUGACUCCUCUCUGCAGAAGCCUGGAUGGGUCGGAGCAGCAGGUCCGCAGGCCCCCGUGCAGAGACUCCGAGUCCUCCACUCUGGGUCCCGUUGGAGAAUCUGAAGCCCUGCUUCUUCCACGAAGCCCUCCUUGAUGACCGCGCUUCUCUGUGAGGUGUCCCUCGGGCUGAACACUUGGAGCGUGCAUGCA